rnacentral:rRNA from 1 species
UACGAAGGGGGCUAGCGUUGCUCGGAAUCACUGGGCGUAAAGGGUGCGUAGGCGGGUUUUAAGUCAGAGGUGAAAUCCUGGAGCUCAACUCCAGAACUGCCUUUGAUACUGAAAGUCUUGAGUAUGGGAGAGGUGAGUGGAACUGCGAGUGUAGAGGUGAAAUUCGUAGAUAUUCGCAAGAACACCAGUGGCGAAGGCGGCUCACUGGCCCAUAACUGACGCUGAGGCACGAAAGCGUGGGGAG